rnacentral:rRNA from 1 species
AGAGUUUGAUCAUGGCUCAGGACGAACGCUGGCGGCGUGCCUAACACAUGCAAGUCGAGCGGGAACCUCAGAAGGGGUAACCCUUCUGAGGGGAGAGCGGCGAACGGGUGAGUAACACGUGGGCAACCUGCCCCGGACACCGGGAUAACCCAGGGAAACCUGAGCUAAUACCGGAUACUCCGGCGUGAUCGCAUGGUCGCGCCGGGAAAGCUCCGACGGUCCGGGAUGGGCCCGCGGCCUAUCAGCUUGUUGGUGGGGUAACGGCCCACCAAGGCGACAACGGGUAGCUGGUCUGAGAGGACGGCCAGCCACACUGGGACUGAGACACGGCCCAGACUCCUACGGGAGGCAGCAGUGGGGGAUCUUGCGCUAAUGCGCGAAAGCGUGACGCAGCGACGCCGCGUGGGGGAUGAAGGCCCUCGGGUUGUAAACCCCUUUCGGCAGGGACGAAGGGAAACUGACGGUACCUGCAGAAGAAGUCCCGGCUAACUACGUGCCAGCAGCCGCGGUAACACGUAGGGGACGAGCGUUGUCCGGAUUCAUUGGGCGUAAAGCGCGCGUAGGCGGCUCGGAAAGUCGGGCGUGAAAUGCCGGGGCUCAACCCCGGGACUGCGUCCGAUACUUCCGAGCUGGAGGUAGGUAGGGGAGAUCGGAAUUCCUGGUGUAGCGGUGAAAUGCGCAGAUAUCAGGAGGAACACCGGUGGCGAAGGCGGAUCUCUGGGCCUUACCUGACGCUGAGGCGCGAAAGCUAGGGGAGCGAACAGGAUUAGAUACCCUGGUAGUCCUAGCCGUAAACGUUGGGUGCUAGGUGUGGGCGGACAUCGACCCCGUCCGUGCCGAAGCUAACGCAUUAAGCACCCCGCCUGGGGAGUACGGCCGCAAGGCUAAAACUCAAAUGAAUUGACGG